UACAGGGGGCGCGAGCGUUGCUCGGAAUCACUGGGCGUAAAGCGAACGCAGGCGGACUGUUAAGUCGAAUGUGAAAGCCCGGGGCUCAACCCCGGAAGUGCAUUCGAAACUGGCAGUCUUGAGUACGGGAGAGGUGGGUGGAAUUCCUGGUGUAGAGGUGAAAUUCGUAGAUAUCAGGAGGAACACCGGUGGCGAAGGCGGGUCUCUGGGCCGAUACUGACGCUGAGGAGCGAAAGCGUGGGGAGCGAACAGG
rnacentral:rRNA from 1 species